rnacentral:rRNA from 1 species
GACGAACGCUGGCGGCGUGCUUAACACAUGCAAGUCGAACGGAAAGGCCCCAGCUUGCUGGGGUACUCGAGUGGCGAACGGGUGAGUAACACGUGGGUGAUCUGCCCUGCACUCUGGGAUAAGCCUGGGAAACUGGGUCUAAUACCGGAUAGGACCGUGCUUUAGUGUGUGCGGUGGAAAGUUUUUCGGUGCAGGAUGAGCCCGCGGCCUAUCAGCUUGUUGGUGGGGUAAUGGCCUACCAAGGCGGCGACGGGUAGCCGGCCUGAGAGGGUGUACGGCCACAUUGGGACUGAGACACGGCCCAGACUCCUACGGGAGGCAGCAGUGGGGAAUAUUGCACAAUGGGCGCAAGUCUGAUGCAGCGACGCCGCGUGGGGGAUGACGGCCUUCGGGUUGUAAACCCCUUUCGGCAGGGACGAAGCUUUUGUGACGGUACCUGCAGAAGAAGCACCGGCUAACUACGUG